AGUGAACGCUGGCGGUAGGCCUAACACAUGCAAGUCGAACGGCAGCACAGUAAGAGCUUGCUCUUACGGGUGGCGAGUGGCGGACGGGUGAGGAAUACAUCGGGAUCUACUUUUUCGUGGGGGAUCACGUAGGGAAACUUACUCUAAUACCGCAUACGACCUACGGGUGAAAGCAGGGGAUCUUCGGACCUUGCGCGGUUGAAUGAGCCGAUGUCGGAUUAGCUAGUUGGCGGGGUAAAGGCCCACCAAGGCGACGAUCCGUAGCUGGUCUGAGAGGAUGAUCAGCCACACUGGAACUGAGACACGGUCCAGACUCCUACGGGAGGCAGCAGUGGGGAAUAUUGGACAAUGGGCGCAAGCCUGAUACAGCCAUACCGCGUGGGUGAAGAAGGCGUUCGGGUUGUAAAGCCCUUUUGUUGGGAAAGAAAAGCAGCAGGCUAAUACCCAGCUGUUCUGACGGUACCCAAAGAAUAAGCACCGGCUAACUUCGUG
rnacentral:rRNA from 1 species